rnacentral:misc_RNA from 1 species
AAGCCUUACAAGAAGGCCUCAGCCACAGAGGCUCAUAAACAGAGAAUGGCACUUAUCCGAAAGACUUUAAAGAAGUACUAGUGCAUACUUUGGAGGUUUGAGCUUCGUGAACAACCAGUGAAUUAAUGCAAAAGUUGUGAAAAGUUAAAUCAUGAGAGUCUGAAGGCAAGACUUUGAACUACCAGAAAAUCCUUUACCAUAAACGCUUCAUGAUGUAUGUGUAAACAGUUCGUUUCAUUACCUCACUACAGAGGUUAUGGUAAUUGCUUUUGUAGGUAAUACACCUCUUUGGUGUCAUAUUGUUCUUGUAAUGUUUACUUCAAAAUAUUAUGUACUACAUUUUAUUCCAUUUGAAUAUAUUUUAAAUCAAAGUGUUGAGAAGUACAGUUAUCUCAAAUUAUUCUGUAUAAAUAAAGCACCACAAUGUUAUUCAUAUGUAUGUGAAGGAAAACUUUCAUCAAGAUCAUCAUAAUUCAUCAUCAGAUUCAUAAUAAACAUUUCUUAGUUACUGUACCUC